UCGAUGUUAAUAAAAUAUUGAAUACAGACAUACGUAGAUCUACAUCUUGAUGAAGUGUCGAACAAGGAACGGGUAUGAUCGUGUCACAGUGAAUGCCAAAGUAUUGAUGGUUUCACCUAAGGCCCAGAUAUCAGAUGGGCUCUGGAAACAAGAUGUUCAUAUUGCAGAUUCCACGACAUCAACUAAGCUAAUUCUUUUUGAGAACAAGAUUGAUUCGCUUGUAAAAGGUGAAACAUACAAAUUUGAAAACAUUCUUGUCAAUGAGUUCCAGCACGAAAAAUAUCUUCAAGUACCUCGCAACAGGUCAACAGUGACAAAAAUUGAGGAACUGCCAAAUGUUGUGGUCCAUGAUGAUGUCCCAGACACUUUCCCAACUGUACCAUCAGCUGAAAUUGUAGGUGUUUUAUCACUCGACUCGUAUAUCUCAUGUCUCAACUGCAAAAGUAAGAUCACCAUCUCAACUGACACUACAGGCAAAUGCAACAAAUGCUCAUUGAUUCAAAGUCUUCGUCACUCCACAAAGCAAUUGAGAGCUAAAGUUAUCAUAAGCACACCAGGUGGAAACUAUCUUACAUUGGACGUAUUUGGCCAAAAUGUAGCAGCAAUUGCUGAAAUAGAUGAAGCCGAAGUCACUGUUGACAACCUAAUCUCUGCACAGCCCUUCUCAUGUUCUUAUAAUGGUACUGUCAUGAACUCAGUUACGCGACCUUGAUAACUACCAGUGCGAAUGUAAAAUGCUUCUACUAUACGUAUACUAAAUUAAUAACCUUGAAUUUAAAUACAACAUAUUUCUUUUAAUUCGUAAAACAAGCAUGUUUUCUUACGCUCGCCCCACAAUGUUCAACAUUCUCCUAGUCUUAGUGACCUCGGUAGACAAUUUCUCUGUAUGUAUGUAUGUAUGUAUGUAUGUAUGUUAUGGUAAUGGUACGGUCGGCCUGAUAGCCGGUUUUUACACAUGCGGUCCUUACCAAUUUAGUGUAUUCUUUGUGUAUUUUGCACAAGCAUAAGAAAAAGUUUCGAAUACUGACAACGAACGCAAGCAAGAAAGGCUUCGAAUAAGGAGGGAUCGAGAGAGACAAGCAAGAGCCCAAGAAACAGCUGAAGAGAAAGAAGUCAGGCUAGCCAAACGCAGAGAAAAGCACAGGGCACUCAAGAUUCAAGGUAACCAUUGCACUGGAUGCCAAUAGAGCAUCCCAGCAACUGAGACGGGACACAGAGACUCCUGAGGCCAGGCAGGCACGCCUACAGCAAAUGGCUGCUUCCACCCAAGCCAGCAGAGCUUCAGAGACUCCUGAGGCCAGGCAGGCACGCCUACAGCAAAUGGCUGCUUCAACUCAAACCAGCAGAGCCUCGGAGACUCCUGAGGCCAGACAGGCACGCUUGGAACAAGACAGGCAUAUAGCUGUGGCAGAUCCCAACAGUUGGUACCCAGGGUUGCAGCUGUACGUUGCUGAAUAGGACAUACUUGAAGAGAUGUAGCCAUUUUGAAUAGUAGGUGGUGUUGAGCAGCUGGAUGGAGAAGGACCUAAAACUGGACAAUAUAUAGAUCUACGGAUCUAUAAUUAUGGGCACAACCUCUAGAUUUGUUUAUUGUUUAGAAUACCUUGUUUCUAGAGGAAUUUUGUUUUAUAAUGUGUUUUGGCAGCAAUCACAACAGUAUCAAUCAUCUGUUCAGUACUAAAAAGUUUAUCACACCCGUAA